UAAUUCAUAUGUUAGUUGAGGAAUAACUUCAGGCUGGUCAUAUAGAAUCAAUGCUUAGUCCUUGGAACACCCCCAUCUUUGUUAUUAAGAAAAAGUCAGGUAAUUGGAGGUUACUACAGGAUUUAAGGGUAACAAACCAUGCAAUUCAGCCUAUGGGAUCAUUGCAGCCUGGACUUCCUUCUCCUACAGCAAUUUCUUUAAAUUAUAGCUUAAUGGUAAUAGAUCUAAAAGAUUGUUUUUUUUUUUCUCAAUAAGGUUGCAUACUGAGGAUUGUGAAAAAUUUGCUUUCAG
rnacentral:sRNA from 1 species